CUACGGGUCGCACCAGUGGGGAAUUUUGGACAAUGGGGGCAACCCUGAUCCAGCCAUGCCGCGUGAGUGAAGAAGGCCUUCGGGUUGUAAAGCUCUUUCAGCCGGGAAGAAAUCGCAUGGGUUAAUACCCUGUGCGGAUGACGGUACCGGAAUAAGAAGCACCGGCUAACUACGUGCCAGCAGCCGCGGUAAUACGGAGGGUGCGAGCGUUAAUCGGAAUUACUGGGCGUAAAGCGUGCGCAGGCGGAUGCUUAAGUCAGAUGUGAAAUCCCCGGGCUUAACCUGGGAAUUGCAUUUGAAACUGGGUGGCUAGAGUGCGUCAGAGGGGGGUGGAAUUCCACGUGUAGCAGUGAAAUGCGUAGAUAUGUGGAGGAACACCAAUGGCGAAGGCAGCCCCCUGGGAUGACACUGACGCUCAUGCACGAAAGCGUGGGGAGCAAACAGGAUUAGAUACCCCAGUAGUC
rnacentral:rRNA from 1 species